rnacentral:rRNA from 1 species
GUGUCAGCCGCCGCGGUAAUACCAGCACCCCGAGUGGUCGGGACGAUUAUUGGGCCUAAAGCAUCCGUAGCCGGUUCUACAAGUCUUCCGUUAAAUCCACCUGCUUAACAGAUGGGCUGCGGAGGAUACUAUAGAGCUAGGAGGCGGGAGAGGCAAGCGGUACUUAGUGGGUAGGGGUAAAAUCCGUUGAUCCAUUGAAGACCACCAGUGGCGAAGGCGGCUUGCCAGAACGCACUCGACGGUGAGGGAUGAAAGCUGGGGGAGCAAACCGGAUUAGAUACCCCGGUAGUCC